rnacentral:rRNA from 1 species
UACGUAGGGCGCAAGCGUUGUCCGGAAUUAUUGGGCGUAAAGAGCUCGUAGGUGGUUGGUCGCGACUGCCGUGAAAACCCAUGGCUUAACUGUGGGCUUGCGGUGGAUACGGGCCGACUUGAGGUAGGUAGGGGAGAAUGGAAUUCCCGGUGUAGCGGUGAAAUGCGCAGAUAUCGGGAGGAACACCGGUGGCGAAGGCGGUUCUCUGGGCCUUACCUGACGCUGAGGAGCGAAAGCGUGGGGAGCGAACAGG